rnacentral:rRNA from 1 species
UGACGAGUGGCGGACGGGUGAGUAAUGCUUGGGAAUCUGGCUUAUGGAGGGGGAUAACUACGGGAAACUGUAGCUAAUACCGCGUAAUAUCGAGAGAUUAAAGGGUGGGACCGCAAGGCCACCUGCCAUGAGAUGAGCCCAAGUGGGAUUAGGUAGUUGGUGAGGUAAAGGCUCACCAAGCCGACGAUCUCUAGCUGGUCUGAGAGGAUGACCAGCCACACUGGAACUGAGACACGGUCCAGACUCCUACGGGAGGCAGCAGUGGGGAAUAUUGCACAAUGGGCGGAAGCCUGAUGCAGCAACGCCGCGUGCGGGAUGACGGCCUUCGGGUUGUAAACCGCUUUCGCCUGUGACGAAGCGUGAGUGACGGUAAUGGGUAAAGAAGCACCGGCUAACUACGUGCCAGCAGCCGCGGUGAUACGUAGGGUGCGAGCGUUGUCCGGAAUUACUGGGCGUAAAGAGCUCGUAGGUGGUUUGUUGCGUCGUCUGUGAAAUUCCGGGGCUUAACUUCGGGGUGGCAGGCGAUACGGGCAUAACUAGAGUGCUGUAGGGGAGACUGGAAUUCCUGGUGUAGCGGUGGAAUGCGCAGAUAUCAGGAGGAACACC